rnacentral:rRNA from 1 species
UAACUGCGUGCCAGAAGCGUCGGUAAGACGUGGGCCCCGAGCGUUAUCCGGUGUUACUGGGCGUAAAGAGUCGUGUAGGCGGUUCGAAAAGUUACCUUUUAAAUCGCAAUGCUCAACAUUGGAACUGGAGGUAAUACUCUCGAACUAGAGUUUUCUACAGGGUGAAUGGAACUGUGGGAGGAGUAGUGAAAUGCGUUGAUCCCCACGGGAACACCAGUGGCGAAGGCGGUUCACUGGUAGAAGACUGACGCUGAGACACGAAAGCUAGGGUAUCGAAGCAGAUUAGAGACCUGCGUAGUCCUAGCCGUAAACGCAUGCUUGCUAGCUGCAUUUCCGCCCCUUCGGGGGUUAGGUGUGGCGAAGGUAACCCGUUAAGCAAGCCGCCUGGGGAUUACGGUCGCAAGACUAAAACUCAAAGGAAUUGGCGGGGAGGCACACAACCAGUGGAACAUGUGGUUUAAUUCGAAACAAACCGAAGAACCUCACCUGGGUUUGACAUGUAGCUGCUCAUCCUAUGAAAGUAGGACUCCUUCGAGGGUGCUACACAGGUGCUGCAUGGCUGUCGUCAGUUCGUUCCGUGAGGAGUGCCCUUAAGUGGGACAACGAACGCAACCCCCAUCGUAUGUUAUAUCUGUCAUACGAAACUGCCUUGCCGUUGGCGAGGAGGAAGGAGGGGCAGACGUCAAGUCUGCAUGGUCCUUAUGCCCAGGGCUACACACAUGUUACAAUGAGAAGGAACAAUGAGCAUUGCGAACUCGCGAGGGUAAGCAAAUCUCAGAAAUCUUCUCUCAGUGGGGAUUGGAGUCUGCAAUUCGACUCCAUGAACGCGGAAUUGGUAGUAAUCGCGGGUCAGCUAUACCGCGGUGAAUACGUUCUUGCCUCUUGCACACACCGCCCGUCAAGCCAACAAAGUCGGGG